GUGUCAGCCGCCGCGGUAAUACGGAGGGUGCAAGCGUUAUCCGGAUUUACUGGGUUUAAAGGGUGCGUAGGUGGGUCUGUAAGUCAGUGGUGAAAUCUCCGGGCUUAACCCGGAAACUGCCAUUGAUACUAUAGGUCUUGAAUAUCCUGGAGGUGAGCGGAAUAUGUCAUGUAGCGGUGAAAUGCUUAGAUAUGACAUAGAACACCAAUUGCGAAGGCAGCUCACUACGGGAUUAUUGACACUGAGGCACGAAAGCGUGGGGAUCAAACAGGAUUAGAAACCCCUGUAGUCC
rnacentral:rRNA from 1 species